UAUAUGAAAGUGUUUCGCUUCGUCUUGUCGAAAAAGAAAGAGAAUUAAACCGACAUUGAAAAUUAAUUCAUUGGUCUAAACAAAUUGGAAAAUCGAUAUUUUUAUUCGUGGUUCGAUUGUUGGUGCUAAGAAAAUUGUGUCCAGUGCAUAAAGCAGCGACGGAUCUCUUGAAUAUUGGUGGGAAAUUGAGAAGGCUGCAACAUGUAUUCAGAUCUCCAUGAUGAAUUUGGCAAUUACAUUGGCCCACAUUUAGAGAGUGAUAAUGAUGACGAUCAGAGUGCGAAGAGCCAAUUCGAAAUGUUGAAUUUAAGAUUUUGGAUGCAGUUAUUGCAAAUGAACCGCUGAAUCGAGGUGGUGGUCGAAUCAUUCUAACCGCUCGUUGUGUUGCCUACUCAGCAUUUUUGAUGGCAAAACCUCGAUUAAUGGAACCAUAUAAUUUUGUCGAAGUACAAGCAUCGGGCGAUUGUGUUUCAGCCGUUUAUACAGUGCUGGCACGUCGCAGAGGUCAUAUGACACAGGAUUUACUCAUUAUCUUGUCACAAUCAAAGCAUAUUCAUUCCUGCCAUCGAUUCAUUCGGAUUUGAAAUGGAUAUCCGAACACACACCAAAGGACAACCAUUCUGUUCGUCCGUAUUCGAUCAUUGGCAGUUCCCGGUGAUCCACUGAACAAGGGCAUCAUAAUUCGACCACUCGAACCACAGCCAGCCACACAUUUGAAACGAGAGAUACGAUUAAGACACGACGACGAAAAGGUUUAUCAGAAGAUGUGUCAAUAAAGAAGGUGUGAUCAAUAAAUUCUUCGACGAUCCUAUGUUCCUUGAGUUGGCCAGACCAGACGUUCUACUCAAUUAUCCAUUAUAAUAUGUUUAAUAUUCUUCAACUUUCAAUUUGAGAAUAAAUUUCAAUUUGGUUAAUAUACAUCAAUACAAUCAAACAAUAUUUGAGUAAUGUUGGAUACUAGCGUUGUUUCUCAACUGGAAUUUUUGUGAAUACUGAGAUCGAUUUAGUCAAAACAUCAAACGCUCUGCGCUGCAGACACUCUUUCAUUUCAAUGUGUUACAUUGCCCAAUACAAAUUUCCAUAAACGAUCGAGCAAUGAAUUCAAAUGACACGAAAACGGCAGUAAACUUUGCAAUAGUUUUCUUUAUUUUCAGUUAAAACUGUUCUUUCUAUGCGACAUAAAUCUGUUAUUCGGAAAAAAAUUCGUUUGAAAAUAUCCAAACCAAUGGUUUCGGUGUGUUUUUGUGUUAGUUUGAGAACAGCUGGAUUGAUACUGGGAUGGUUUUGUGUGAUCUUUGGAUUCAUAUCGGUGCAUAUAAUCGGUCUUCUGAUAGCGAUUGGGCCGCCCUCACUCUUGAUGAUUCUGGAUUUGAUCAAAAUGUUAUUGACUGCGAAUUUCUAUGCCCCAUGGCUUGUUGGCAUAUACACCGAAGACCCAGUAUUUUUGUUACCAGCUCUAUUCUGGUCACCCACAUACAUUAUCCUUGAAAUCACCUCUUUGGUCAUCUUAUCUAGUUGCCAAGAUCAAGACAUCCUGAGUGUACUUCAUUUCAAUACAGAUAUACAAAGCUUCAUAUCUUCGAUUGGCAUUGCUAUUUUCAUGUGUAUUUUCUGUUUUCAAUAUUCUCUCUACGUAUCCAUAAAGCAGAUGGCCAUGGUUGACAAUUUUCUACGCAAUCAUUAACUCUACUGAAGCACAAGCUACUGUUCGUAAAAGAUGAUUAAUAAAAUCAUUGAGCCCAACGGAUUGUCGAUAUCAAAACCAUUCCUCGGAUUUCUGUUACUCCGGAAUUAAUAAAUAUGGCAUUUGAUCUUAUAGAUUUGCAUUUCAAUAUUUCACAAUAAAAUCGUCAACUUUUA